CGUAGCUAACGCGUGAAGUGAGCCGCCUGGGGAGUACGGCCGCAAGGUUAAAACUCAAAGGAAUUGACGGGGACCCGCACAAGCGGUGGAUGAUGUGGAUUAAUUCGAUGCAACGCGAACAACCUUACCUACCCUUGACAUGUCUGGAAGGCUGCUGAAAGGUGGCUGUGCCCGAAAGGGAACCGGAACACAGGUGCUGCAUGGCUGUCGUCAGCUCGUGUCGUGAGAUGUUGGGUUAAGUCCCGCAACGAGCGCAACCCUUGUCCCUAGUUGCUACGCAAGGGCACUCUAGGGAGACUGCCGGUGACAAACCGGAGGAAGGUGGGGAUGACGUCAAGUCCUCGUGGCCCUUAUGGGUAGGGCUUCACACGUCAUACAAUGGACGGUACAGAGGGUUGCCAACCCGCGAGGGGGAGCCGAUCCCAGAAAGCCGUUCGUAGUCCGGAUCGCAGUCUGCAACUCGACUGCGUGAAGUCGGAAUCGCUAGUAAUCGCGGAUCAGC
rnacentral:rRNA from 1 species